GUACAAUGUGUAUUCUCCAUUUUAGCAUCAGUAAUUCUGUGAUCGACCUUGCGGUCUUUUGACGAAAGCCGUGAACG